AGAACUACUGUGACUUAUAGAGACAGUGGUGACAAUAGGAGCCCAGUUGCAAUGUUACAUCGAAAAUAGAAAUUAGAAAUAGGCAACACACAAUACACAUAUGACAUGUGUUGUGUACACUAUAAUACAAUAUUAUAUAUACAGGGUUGCCAGAUGUCAGGCAUUCAGCCGGAGUCUCCGGUUUUACCUCGUGCUCUCCGGCCCCCGGGCAGACGCGACUAUAACUCCGGUAGAACAAUAAAUUUUAAUACUUUUCAAAUAGGUCAAACGAUUCCUUUUUACCCACCUAAUAACACCUUAAUUUUUAAAUAUGACAAAAUCACAAAUAGGAUUUCUAUGAUUUUGUAUUAAAAAACAAAAAACACUUGCAAGAAAAUCAGAAAAAUAUGUUUAACUUUCUUGUUUUGACUAUUUGUGUGUAAACAGCGAUGUUGAUGUUUAUGUUUCAUUUAUUAAGUUAAGUGCACUGUAUUUACCCUUAUAUUACUUAUAUUGCAAGAAUGUAUAGUUUGUUUUAUUUGUUUACUUAUACCAAUUUGAAAUAAAAAAAUUCUUAAAUUUGGAGGGGGGGGGGGGUUGGUUCGCAAUGUAGAUUUAUGUUUCUUAUGCAGCUUAUGUCCGGCAGACGGCCAUACGCAAUCUGGCAACCCUGUAUAUAUACUUGAAGUAAUAUGCUGAUCUCCACAAACAAUAAGUCACAGUAAGUAGAACCACUCGUGUGGUUCUUGAAGUAGCAAAAACGCUUUAAUAAAUCAUGUGUUUCUAUAGCAAGGUCAUCAUCACCAGUAAACAACUAAAACUUUAAAGAGUUUUGAAUGGUCUAAUAUGCCUCUCUCAUCAGUCAUCACUAUUCAUUAUGAAUCUUUAUUUUACCAAAGUCUUAAACUUUCAUAACAAUCCAUGUCACUCUUACUAUUUACUUGCUUAACUGCAUAGCAUAUUGCAAAAGUCAGAUCUACACAUGCGCAGACUGUUUAAAUUCAAUUUUCUUAGAGAUAUUUCUUUGGAAAUUUUAACAAACUCAGCGUAUAUAGUGACAGUCAAAUCCGCGGGGUUGGGUUGGAUAGUACCAAGGUACCAAAAAAAAAAUUUUGAAAUUUUAACUACAGAUGCUGAAACUCGGGACGUGAACUGUCAAUAAAAACCCUUCAAAAUAAAGUAUCACAUGAUACCAUUAAAAAAAUUCAAAAUGGCAGAAUCGCCAUCGCCACCUUGGAAGUUGUAACGGUCAAUUUUAAUAAGAAUAAUAAUAUAUAAUUGAAGGCUAAGAACAUUAAAAUUCAUCGAAAUGUCAAAAGGUAGUAUUUUAUACCUCUCCUCCCCCCUUUUGAAUAUUUACCCAAACGUUAUAGCGAAAACAUAGCAGACCCGUUUAUUCGCUUAUAUAAAUACACCGACGUUUUGUUAGCAAACACUGUUUAUUAUUGUUUUAUUAUUUGCCAAUUUUUUUAGUAGUUGGGUUGUGGGGUCGGAAUAAUCCAAAAAAGCUCAAAAAAGCACUACUUAAUUGAUAAUCUCUUUUAUAGUUAAGCGUAAGGUACAGGUUGGUAGAAGUGCUUCCCAUUUCUAGGCUUCGCUAGCGUGGGUUUAAGGUGCAACACGAUUAUUUGAACGUUCACUUUGUUUACGUUUGUUAGAGGAACAUACCAUCAAAAUUGCAAUCAAAUUAUUCCACAAACAAGAAAGUUAACUAUUGAGCAUGCGUAGUACGGUUUUUUGGCACAUUCAGUACGCAGUACGAUUUUUCAAUGUUAAGUGCGCGGUUAGGUUAGGCCGAGACCUUUCCGAAGACACUCUACACCCCUAGUUACGACGCUCCGUUCUUGAGAUAUCGCGGUUGGGGUGUUUGCGGUAGGUGUCAAAUUUCAAAUCGCUAUAUCUUCGUUGUUUAGCGUCCGCUCUCGUCCCAAUUUUGUAUUCAGAGGUUUAGGCACUCUGGGUUUGAAUCUCCAUUCGGAACUCCGACCCUUCCAUCGGUUAGGUUAUGUUGAGAGCUUUCCAAAGACACCAAUGAAUUCUUACCUACAGUGCUCCGCUCCGCUUUGGAUUGAAUUGCUUUAUAACUAAGAAAGUUGCGUUUUGCGUAUGCGCAGUACGUAUUUAAAGGUAAUUCGAUUCUAAAACGUGGUCUAUCGAUAACGCUAUUAAACAUACAACCAAACUAAAGCGGUAAAUGUGAAAUACAGGGAUGGACCACCCAUCAGAAGAUUAAACAAAACCUGGCCUGCUGACCUACCCCCGUAACACUAAGUGAUAGUGAACUAUAAGGUGAAUUGUCAGUGGACACUUCCUCUUCCAAGUCAAAGUCAUAUAUCACAUUUACUUAAUACUCUAAAUGAAGUAGAUUGUAAAUUUGCAAUAAAGAUUAAAAAAAAAAAAUGUGAAAUGUUCUUACCAUAAGUACAAUGGAAAUAAUCGCUAAAUUACAUUAGCACUUGACGUUACAUUGUCACGUCUAUCGCCAACUGACAUAGGUUUGAAGAAUGUGAAAUCUCAACUGCUUCUUAACGUUUAAAAGGACUUUCCGAAUGUAUGUCCUCAAAGUUGUGGCACUCAUCGGGUUAGGUUUGCGUCCGCAGUGGCGUAACUAGGUAGGUGCCAAAGGUACUCUGAAUGGGGGGGGCGCGCCGGAGGCGCUGAAGCACCGAGGGCACUAAGUCAUGAUGGGCAGUACGUGGUGUACCGUAUAGGCCAGUCAUAAAAGACAAGAACGGCGGUUAAAUUCUAAUACUUUGCUAAAGUCGACUACAGGGUGCACCGAAAUGUAAUUAAAACUAAAUUUACGCUCCUUUAGGAUGAACCGAACAUUGUUAAAAAGUAAAAAAAUUAUCAAAGUCUUUGUGUGAGAUGUAAGGGAUUUCAGCGCAUUUUGUGUGGCAGAUCAGUACUUUUAUUAACCACAAUCAAUAAGAUUUUGUCGGGGGGCCCAUAUUCCCUUUGUCGGUACCCACCUCCGACAUCCCGUUCGCCCGGAAUUCGCGUUUGAAGUUUUGACUCCACCGUUAGUAAGAUCUUGUCGAGAGCUACCACACUCCCAUUGUCGGUACCCGCUUCCGACGCCCCCACAGAAGGCAGAUGUAUACACAGUUUGAAUCAAAACACUUGUACCACGCUAUCUUAAGUGCCUCAAUAUGAAUGGCGACUGUGUUGAAAAAUAGCCUAAGAGUGUAGCUUCCAAAUGUAUAUAAUAAAAGUUGUUUAUUACACUUUCUUAAUUUUUUAUUUCAAAACGUCUGUUAGUUUCUGGAUGGCCCUUGUAGUACAAAGUUACAGCGGUAGGAAAAGGCUGCAGAUUUAAAAUAAUAAUAAUCUUUAUUUGUGAUCUAUACAAUAGUCUGUAUUAGUGUAACCAGCAUUUGCACGCAAUCAUUUCUACGACCUGUGUCCCAUGCCAUAGUUAAAUUCGACGCGAUAAUUGGAAACACUAUAAAUAAAUGUACUUUUAUUCUUCAUUCAGUGAAAGAUUUCGUUAUUCAAAGCAUCUUUCUAAAAUUUAAGUAUGCAAAAUUUGUGUGUAAAUUCGAAAGGGUGCAGUGCUGUUAAAAUUUCGUGUAAAGUUUCUCUCAAAAAUGUACCGUGUUUUAUUAAUUUGAGCGCAAUGGUAACUGAUUAGACGCCAAAAUCUGGUAGGGCGCCAAAACCUGCUCCGGCACCGCUUCGAAAAAUACCUAGUUACGCCACUGUGCGUCCGUAACGAUAUCGAUUGUCAGGAGGGUACAAUUGGGAGGUGCACCGGCAUCGCGACGGUUUCGACGGUGGUUGGCCGUGCUAUUCCGUCAGCCAAAACGAGAUUCGCGUUCUUGGUGUAAAGGUGAAAUUCGCGGCGGCGCGGAGGAUUUGAACAGCGCGUGAUCGCUGGCACUCGGGUUUUCACGACAUUUGGGACAUUAGUGUCAGACGACCCCGGGGUUCCGCAUCUGAAACACGUCUUUUUUGCAGGCGUUAAUUAUUUAAAAAGGAUAGGGCGAUCAUCAGUACAGAUCCGUACACCAUUUUUUUCGAGGAGUGUCAAUCCCCCUUAAUGCGCAAACUGGCAGCAUGUGAUUCUCCUCGAAACGAUAGGAUUGUUAAAAAGUUUAGAGCUUGGGAUCCAA